UGGCGUAGUCAUGGAAUAUGAAAAGCAGGAUGGCAUAUACAAGCCAGAAGAUGGCGAUGUGACCAUAACCUUGAAAGGUGUAGAGACUGUAUUGAAGAAGUAGAAAAGCGACUCCAAACAUGCAAAAUACUUUAUAGUGUUGCUUUUUUGAAAGAUAUAUUAUCAAAGUAUACAUUCACAUUCAACGAAAUUAAUAAGUACAUAGAAAAAGCCCUACAAUAUGGUUCAUUAGCAAAUACUGGAAUAAAAAUGAUGCUAGCAACACUAUUUGUAGAAUAUGAAAAACCCAAUGGAAUAAACUUUGAAGAAUUAAACAAACUGAUUAUUGAUACGAACUUGUUUGCCAAUUAUCCAUUUCAGUAUC